UACAGAGGGUGCAAGCGUUGUUCGGAAUUAUUGGGCGUAAAGAGCGUGUAGGCGGUUUGGUAGGUCCGCUGUGAAAACUCGAGGCUCAACCUCGAGACGCCGGUGGAAACCAUCAGACUAGAGUCCGGAAGAGGAGAGUGGAAUUCCUGGUGUAGCGGUGAAAUGCGCAGAUAUCGGGAAGAACACCCGUGGCGAAGGCGGCUCUCUGGGACGGUACUGACGCUGAGACGCGAAAGCGUGGGGAGCGAACAGG
rnacentral:rRNA from 1 species